GUUAUCAAAACCGCAGAAUAAGUUCUCUAGUUUUGCUCGUUAUUUGCAUAAUAUGUUUGUUUAUCAUAAUUAUUUUUGCUAGAAUGUUAGGUACGUCAUUUGCGACAGAACCUACUGGUCGAUUUGAAGCUGAAUGAAUCGAUUAAAUCGAUCAGUGCAAUAUCGCAUGCAAGUAAAGUGCAUUGUAAGUUGCAUGCCACCAAGGUGGCGUUCUUUUAUUACGUGACGCGGGAACAGGAACAAAGUUUGGUCAUCAAACAAUAAUAACAACAAAAGACGGACAGUCGGCAACUGCAGUGCAAGUUUUCGGUCGUUGUUAUUCAUGCUCAAGUUGAAUGAAAUCGAAACGAUGGAAUAAUGCUGCAACGGGGACGGAAAGAGCGGAACUUUUUGUCCAGGAGCUGCGCUUGCUGCCGAGCCACUUGACGAUGGUGCGCCCUGCAGGAGAUGAUCGAGUACCGUGAGCAGCCAGCACCGCACCAAAUGUGAUGCUGAUAAAUGUCUGAUCAGGAUGCCGGAACAAGUAGUUAAACACGACCGGAAGAUUGUUAAAAACUGCCCUUUUUGAAGAUGGUGCUGCCGUACCUGGUCCCGGAAAGAGGAAAAUAGUUCUAGAAGGAGCGUGUACGGUUGGUGCCAGUUUUGGACUACACGAGCCUCCUUCACUAGAGAUUUAAAAAAAAUCGUGCAGCAGGUGAGUUUCAACAAUGUUUAAUAAAGAUUUUAUUUAAUUUUUAACUAUGAUUUGUUUUUACAGAUAUUUUACAGGUUAAACGCUGAACUUUAGAGCGUAACUGGACCGGCCAAGUCAUUCUGCUGAUUUGUAACGAACCUACGCUGGCAGUUCCGGAUUAAGUUUGGUAUUGAACGAAUCGUUCUGUAUCGGACUGUGCAACCAGGAGUUGGCGCAAGAGCUGGCGCUUAACGAACAUGGCCGAGGGACGGAUUAAGCGCGCCACAAAUCUGCUUUUCGUUCGGGAUCAGUCAAUUCCGCAUUCCGCGCCAACCUUACAAUUUUAGUCGUGCAAGCUCGGGCUGUCCACGGCACUCUCGAUCGUCGGCUUUAACCCAGUGACUAACGCACGAGACACCAGCACGGCCACUGAACACGUUGGAGACGUUUGGUUCGGAUGAUUCCAAGGUGGCGUUGAUGUGGGCCUAAGUCAACAGUGCCUGUUUCGGAAGUGGGACAGCGUUUCUCGCGUGACCCGCUUUACUUUCCAUAAGUCACCGCCGACAAUAGCAACUGCGAGGGCUCGUUGGAAAAUACUACCCGUACCGGAAGUUA